rnacentral:rRNA from 1 species
AUUGAACGCUGGCGGCAGGCUUAACACAUGCAAGUCGAGCGGAGAUGAGGUGCUUGCACCUUAUCUUAGCGGCGGACGGGUGAGUAAUGCUUAGGAAUCUGCCUAUUAGUGGGGGACAACAUUCCGAAAGGAAUGCUAAUACCGCAUACGUCCUACGGGAGAAAGCAGGGGAUCUUCGGACCUUGCGCUAAUAGAUGAGCCUAAGUCGGAUUAGCCAGUUGGUGGGGUAAAGGCCUACCAAGGCGACGAUCUGUAGCGGGUCUGAGAGGAUGAUCCGCCACACUGGGACUGAGACACGGCCCAGACUCCUACGGGAGGCAGCAGUGGGGAAUAUUGGACAAUGGGCGGAAGCCUGAUCCAGCCAUGCCGCGUGUGUGAAGAAGGCCUUUUGGUUGUAAAGCACUUUAAGCGAGGAGGAGGCUACCUGGAUUAAUACUCUAGGAUAGUGGACGUUACUCGCAGAAUAAGCACCGGCUAACUCUGUGCCAGCAGCCGCAGUAAUAC